CUUCAUGUACGCCCCGUUUCAUUAAAAGCUUUGAACGACACGAAGCAUGUCAAACAACGAUUAAGGUGUUAUAAUAAACACCUGUUUGUGAAUUAUGAGGAAUACUAUAUCAUACGAACGUACUUAAAAACGGUAAAAUUUAAAUGAAAGUUCAAGUUUCAGCCAUCGAAAAUUUGCGGAUUCGUUUAAGCAUAUGUGCAGCAAUUAAAAUCCAUACAGAUGGCGGAAGCAGCCGAAGACGGGCGCUCGUCCGACAUACCUGGAGCCCAAUGGUACUGCCGACAUCACGAGAAUAACACUCCGUUGCAAUAUGAAGAGGAGUCCAAAGAAAUAUGUAUCGUUAUGUCGUGGCUAGGACAUGAACCGUCCUGCAGACAGAAACGCCGGGACUGUUACAGCGAGUAUGCACGAUUGUUGAGUGCGUACUUGGAAUAAAUUGGAUGUUGCACAACCAUCAUUGCUGGAAGCAAAUCAGAAGGCCUCACUUGCUACCUGGAGAAUGACAUAGAUAUGAUAUCUGUCCUUUCGAAUAUAGUCUGCCUUGAGGAUUACCGCCAUAUAUGGGAAAUUCCUGACGAUACAGCGGUGUUUAUGAUGAAUACAACAUAUACCUACGCUGGGCAUUGUAGGCUAUUGCUAUUGCGACAAAGGAGAAAUUGUCCCAUAAGUAUGAAAUUUAUUGCACCGGCAUUAUGUUAUGAUGGACUGGGAAAUACUUUAUUGAGUAGUGACUUAUUUGCUGAGUUUGACCCUGAAAUAAAGCGUUCAGGGCCACCCACUCCUUUCAUAUUUGGGCCUAUUCGCUUGGAUAGAGUAAGCGCUCUUCGUUGCCACAGUACCGUGCUAUUGAAACAAUGGGCAGAAAGGCCUCGCCAUUGGCCGCCGCCUGACGUGGUUAAAAAAGUGAUUUACUUGGGAGCAUGUUUAACCCCUGCUGGAUUUAAGGACAGUCCUUACAAACACGUAGAAUGGAGAAUUUGUUUUAACUCUGGGGAAACGGAAAUUGUAAACAGCCUAACAGACACGCAGCUCAAAGUUUACGUUAUGUUGAAAAUGAUCGUAAAGGAUGAACUCCGACCGUAACAUAAAGAGAUUACGUCGUACACGCUAAAAAACAUCAUAUUGUGGCAAUCGGAGAGCUAUCAGCAAACGUUGUUUAAUGAAAGAAGUUUAUUGUAUUGGCUAUGCAAAGGAUUGGGUAAACUUAAAACUGCUAUAGCCACAAAACAUCUGCCAUACUACAUGAUACCUGCUAGAAAUCUUAUGGAAGGCUGUGGAUUAAAACACCACCAGCAGAGCAAAUGGAUAGCAGUCAUUACAGAAAUGAUGAACGUAGGGCCGAGGGUUAUUCUAAGGCUGGGAGAGUUCCGAAAAGCCCUUAUCGCGUACCCAGAGCCUCUAAUGUGGUACAGCAAGAUGAGAACUGAGUUGGAGAUGUUGUCCCUGGAACUUAUGGUUAGAAAACGUUUGUUCUUCGUUGAAAACAUUUUAGGCUCGGCUUACAACAACGGGCAAGCGGAUAUAAUGAACACGUUGCAGACUUGUGUCAUGCGCUCUUUUUCUAUGUCCGAUAGUAUCAGUGACGAGUUGCUCGUUCGUGUUAGUUCGAUAAUACUAACAAUUGCUCUUAGUUUGAGUGAUUUUGAUUUGCGUUUGCUUGGGCAACUUAUGUGCAGACUGUUGGGUUGAAUACCGAUGUUUAACACAUAGAUCUAACUGGUACAGUAGCACAAUUUUAAAAUGUGUGAUAACAUACACAUGCAGCGUAUCAUGAUCAAAAGCUAAAAUAGUUUUGCCCCCCCCUCCCCGGGACCGCAUCUCAUAAUCCGUAUGUCCUUGGAUGGUUUGUUUAGGUUUAUACAUGUUUGGACAAAUUUCAUAUGAAAAUCUUGAACAACAAUGCACUUUUGUAGCAAUGGAUGUAUAUUGUUCAAGUCCAGGAGCGGCUUCAACGUGAAUAUAUUUAAUAAAAUUGAGAGAGUUAUCGCAACUACUGUUAUGUUUAACCUCGUACAAGAACGUAGUAGCGUGGGGAACUCUAUGGUUGCGAUCGUUUUCAAUCGAGAUACAAUCGAGACAUAGUUCGAAAUAUUCGCAUCGGUCGUAUGCAAUAGUAUUUGAAUUAUAGAUCAGAUGGGGUCAGAUCGCGGCACCUUUUAUUGCAAACUCGUGAACAGAUUCGGAUUAAUUUCGAGCGCAAAGCAGCUAUUAUCAGGAAUAGACCCGCGUCAUUUUGUCAGAAAUACAUCGAGCAGGUACGUGUCGGCAAUCGUAGCGCUCGUUUCAGAUCGCAUGACAAUCGGAAUAAAGCAUACAUAUAUUAGGAAUAUAAACACCACGUAUCAUCGUCAGAAUUAUAAGAAUAUUCGUUAAUAUCCCAAUCGUCACAUAAUCAUCAUCGAACUGAUUGGUAAGUAAGUAUGGCAUGCACCUGUCAUAAAAAUGACCUUCUUGUAUGUUCCUGUAUAUAUAAUUAUGUGUGUACUAUUGAACAAUUCCAUUUUUCAUAACUGUGUAUAGCCCAAUUGCAAAUGCUAUAUGAUGUAAAGACGUCUACCGCACACAAUUCUAAAUGCAUGGUUAUACAUACAUGUACUUGUAUCCUAUUGUGUAAAUACUAAAUAUAAACCAUAAUAAACUGAUA